CGGAGGGGUGGCCGAGUGGCUGAAGGCAACGGUCUUGAAAACCGUCGACGGGUAACCGUUCGAGAGUUCGAAUCUCUCCUCCUCCGCCAU
rnacentral:tRNA from 9 species